UACGAAGGGGGCUAGCGUUGUUCGGAAUUACUGGGCGUAAAGCGCACGUAGGCGGUUUGUCGCGUCUGCUGUGAAAACUCGGGGCUUAACUCCGGGCCUGCAGUGGGUACGGGCAGACUAGAGUGCGGUAGGGGAGACUGGAAUUCCUGGUGUAGCGGUGAAAUGCGCAGAUAUCAGGAGGAACACCGGUGGCGAAGGCGGGUCUCUGGGCCGUAACUGACGCUGAGGAGCGAAAGCGUGGGGAGCGAACAGG
rnacentral:rRNA from 1 species